GACGUAGGGCGCGAGCGUUGUCCGGAUUUAUUGGGCGUAAAGCGCACGUAGGCGGUCCAGCAAGUCGGGUGUGAAAGCCCUCGGCUUAACCGAGGAAGUGCAUUCGAAACUACUGGACUUGAAUACUGGAGAGGAUCGCGGAAUUCCCGGUGUAGAGGUGAAAUUCGUAGAUAUCGGGAGGAACACCAGUGGCGAAGGCGGCGAUCUGGACAGAUAUUGACGCUGAUGUGCGAAAGCGUGGGGAGCAAACAGG
rnacentral:rRNA from 1 species